AUGCUCACGGAGAUCCUCCUCCGCCUCCCGCCCCAGCCGUCCUCCCUCCCGCGCGCCUCCGCCGUCUGCAAGCGUUGGCGAGACCUCCUCACCGACCCCGGAUUCUUUCGGCGCUUCUGCACGCAUCACCGGUAUCCUCCCCUCCUCGGCGUUUUCCAGUGCCAUGAUCAGCUCGAGUUCACUCCUGUCCCGGCCGCUCCUGAUCGCAUCCCUCCAGCGAGCCUUGACCUGCCAAACCGCGACUUAUGGGUCCGACUGCUGGGGUGCCGCCACGGCCGUAUCCUCAUCUUGAACCGGGUGCACACAGAGGUCCUCGUGUGGGACCCCAUCUUCGGCGGGCAGCACCAUGUGCCGGUUCCGCCAGAGUUCAACUUGGGCUAUAUCAAUGCGGCAGUGCUCUGCGCUGCACGUGACCAGGGCCACGUGCAUGGCAAUUGCUACUCCACACCAUUUAAGGUGAUAUUGCUGCUUAUGCGCCGUAGCGAUGGUCGACCACUCGCCUCUAUUUAUUCCUCUGAGACCGACACAUGGGGCGGUCUCAUCUCAGCAGAGGUUCCGUAUCGACAUUGUUAUGGCACUUGUAUUAGCACCCUUGUUGGUAAUGUCCUUUACUGGUCGUAUCCAUACACAAAGGAGGGUAUACUUGGGUUUGAUUUGGAACAACAGAACUUUGAUGUGCUCGAGGGGCCUUCCGGUAUGUAUCGUUGCCACAACCAUCAGAUCAUCCAGGCAGAUGAUGAAACGGUUGGUCUCGAGAUGCUGUCUGACAAUGAUCAGAAAAUUCAAAUGUGGGAGAGGAAGGUCAAUUGCCAUGGUGUUGCCUCCUGGGUGCAGUGGAAGACCAUUGAAAUGCAUAAAAUUCUAGGGCUCCCUCGCCAGGUUGAAGGAGAGAAGGCAUCAUUGGAAUUUAUACGAGGAUAUGUUGAGGAUACAGACAUGAUAUUUUUAUAUGUGAAAGGCAGUGUCUAUGUGGUUCAGCUUAAGUCGAUGCAAUCUAGGAAGCUUUUUGAAGUCUCCAAUACACGUAUUUACUGUCAUUCUUUCAGGUGUUUCUAUGCUCCAGGUGAUUAUUCAUCCCUAGUCCUCGUAUUGUAG
rnacentral:rRNA from 1 species